GACGAACGCCGGCGGCGUGCUUAACACAUGCAAGUCGAACGGAAAGGCCCUGCUUUUGUGGGGUGCUCGAGUGGCGAACGGGUGAGUAACACGUGAGUAACCUGCCCUUGACUUUGGGAUAACUUCAGGAAACUGGGGCUAAUACCGGAUAGGAGCUCCUGCUGCAUGGUGGGGGUUGGAAAGUUUCGGCGGUUGGGGAUGGACUCGCGGCUUAUCAGCUUGUUGGUGGGGUAGUGGCUUACCAAGGCUUUGACGGGUAGCCGGCCUGAGAGGGUGACCGGCCACAUUGGGACUGAGAUACGGCCCAGACUCCUACGGGAGGCAGCAGUGGGGAAUAUUGCACAAUGGGCGGAAGCCUGAUGCAGCAACGCCGCGUGCGGGAUGACGGCCUUCGGGUUGUAAACCGCUUUCGCUUGUGACGAAGCGUGAGUGACGGUAAUGGGUAAAGAAGCACCGGCUAACUACGUG
rnacentral:rRNA from 1 species